rnacentral:lncRNA from 1 species
GUCCGCCCAGGGGGCGCCGUGGGCCUCGGCGGCGGGCCUCGGAGGACGCGACGGGGAAACGGGGCGGAGGCGCGGGCGCCGCGCGGAGGGGUUGCGGCUGUUGUCGCACCGGUCGCCCGGCUGCGCGGCGGGGGCGGGCCGACGGCGGCCGCCGCGCCAGGCCUCACAAAGAGCAAACAGCCCCGCGCGUCCGCCCGCGGUCCCAGCGCCGGGGCCCACCCUGAAGGAUCUGGGGCGGCCGCUCUGGGACCCCGGGAAGAGCGCGGCGAGGAAGAGGCACUUCCUGCCUGGGCCCCCCACCCUGGGCCGAUUCCCGAGUGCCUCGAAGCCGCCCGACCCGAACGGGCGCCUCAGUCCCCACCGGCCCCGAGUCCAGCCCCUCCCGCGGGACUCACCCUGAGCGGCGGUGAGAUCCGCGGCUGCCAGCGGCUUGUCGCUCUUCAGCUGGCGGCCAAUGUAGUCAGUCUGGGGACCCACCUCCCCCUUUCAGCUGAGCGCACACAACACAGCAUCCACGUGAGUCAGCUUCUUAAAGGCGAAGGCUUGGCCUGUCUAAUUGCGGCAGCUGCGAGACAUCGCACGUCAUUAGCGUCACCAGGUAGCGGCUGGAGCCGAGCUUCCUGAUACCUAGUGAGCCGCGGUGAUGACAAAUGAAAACAAUAAGCUGUUUCCUAGACAAACAGCUGCCUAGUUUCGCUCUGUCGCCCAGGCUGGAGUGCAGUGGCACAAUCUCGGUUCACUGCAACCUCUGCCUCCCGGGUUCAAGCAGUUCUCUUGCCUCAGCCUCCCAAGUAACUGGUACUACAGAGAAUUGAUACAAAAAAUGAUCAUGUGAAGAAUUUGCAUCUUCUGCAGAACUACCGGUAUCAGUCAGCAGUAGGAGAUUGUAUAAAUUCAGCCUGAGAUUCCAGAAUAUUCUGUGUAUUGACCACCACAGCAAGAAGAAAAAGUCCAUGUAGGACUGAAAUCUGUGGUACUUCUGCGGUGGCACUUCUUACACAAGUGAGAAGCAGCGACACCGUGACACCUGCACGCCGGAGCCCUGCGUUAGUGAGAAGCAGCGACACCGUGACACCUGCACGCCGGAGCCCUGCGUUAGUGAGAAGCAGCGACACCGUGACACCUGCACGCCGGAGCCCUGCGUUAGGCUGGGUAAGGGCGGGGACCUGGGCAUCACACAGUCUUAGAUGUGGGCCUGCCUCCAACAGCUCCCUCCUGGGUGUGAUGCUGAAGGGGGUCCUUGACACCUCUGAAGUCUCAGUCUCCUCAAGGUCACACCCAGCUUAUAGGAUUGUGCUUCUGUGGAUUAAACAAGACACAGCAGUCCUCCCUUAUCCAUGGUUCUGUUUUCCUUGGCCAAAAAUAUUAAAUAGAAAAUUCCAGAAAUAAACAAUUUAUGUUUUAAAUUGAAUGUUAUGAUGAAAUCUCACACCGUCCUGCUCCAUCCUGGCUGGGCGUGAAUCAUCCCUGUGUUCAGCAUAUCCACUGUCUAUACCCGCUACCCCUUAGUCACUUAGUUACUGUCUAGGUUGUCAGAUCAAAACCACAGUAUGGGCCGGGCAUGGUGGCUCAUGCCUGUAAUCCCAGUGCUUUGGGAGGUGGAGGUAGGAG